AUGGUGGCCGCAAAGAAGAUGAAAAAGUCACUGGAGUCUAUCAACUCUAGGCUCCAAAUCGUUAUGAAAAGUGGGAAGUAAGUCCUGGGGUACAAGCAGACUCUGAAGAUGAUCAGACAAGGCAAAGUGAAAUUAGUCAUUCUCGCUAACAACUGCCCAGCUUUGAGGAAAUCUGAAAUAGAGUACUAUGCAAUGUUGGCUAAAACUGGUGUCCAUCACUACAGUGGCAAUAAUAUUGAACUGGGCACAGCAUGUGGAAAACACUACAGAGUGUGCACACUGGCUAUCAUUGAUCCAGGUGACUCUGACAUCAUUAGAAGCAUGCCAGAACAGACUGGUGAAAAGUAA